rnacentral:rRNA from 1 species
AUUGAACGCUGGCGGCAGGCCUAACACAUGCAAGUCGAGCGAGUGGCGGACGGGUGAGUAAUGUCUGGGAAACUGCCCGAUGGAGGGGGAUAAAUAUUGGAAACGGUAGCUAAUUACGCAUACUAUUAGAUGUGACAAGAGGGUAUUAGCUAGUAGGUGGGGUAACGGCUUACCUAGGCGACGAUGCCUAGCUGGUCUGAGAGGAUGAACAGCCACACUGGAACUGAGACACUGUCCAGACGCCUACGGGAGGCAGCAGUGGGGAAUAUUGCACAAUGGGCGCAAGCCUGAUGGAGCCAUGCCGCGUGGAUGAAGAAGGCCUUCGGGUUGUAAAGUUCUUUCAUCGGGGAGGCGUUACCUGCAGAAGAAGCGCCGGCUAACUCCGUGCCAGCAGCCGCGGUAAUUC